rnacentral:rRNA from 1 species
CAGCCGCCGCGGUAAUACCGAGGGUGCGAGCGUUAAUCGGAUUUACUGGGCGUAAAGCGUGCGUAGGCGGCUUCUUAAGUCGGAUGUGAAAUCCCUGAGCUUAACUUAGGAAUUGCAUUCGAUACUGGGAAGCUAGAGUAUGGGAGAGGAUGGUAGAAUUCCAGGUGUAGCGGUGAAAUGCGUAGAGAUCUGGAGGAAUACCGAUGGCGAAGGCAGCCAUCUGGCCUAAUACUGACGCUGAGGUACGAAAGCAUGGGGAGCAAACAGGAUUAGAUACCCCCGUAGUCCCUGUCUCUUUACA